GGAUUGUAGCUCAGUGGUAGAGCACUUACCUAGUAUGUGUGAGGCCUUAGGUUCGAUCCCCAGCACCA
rnacentral:tRNA from 1 species